UGCUGCUGCUGCUGCUGCUGCUGCUACUGCUUCUGAUGUUGCGCUUUGCUGCCUUGGCAGCGCUUCAUUAUACAAAUUAACAUAAAACAUAAUAGUGACAGAGCGGCGUCAAGUGAGUUGGCCAGAAAUAGAGGCAGAAUAGAGGCAGCCACAGGAGCAGCAGCAUCAUCAUCAUCAUCU
rnacentral:miRNA from 1 species